CGAUUUGAAAAUCUGCACAUUCAUUCAUUCCUCUAGUUAGCUUUAUAGAUAAUUGCAGAUAGCCGGCUGAAUAUUUAGGAUCGAUGGCGAAGAAGUUGAUGCAGGUAUGGUGCUUCCUAGCCGUGAUGGCGUUAAUCGUGGCUUCGGCUUCCAUGUUCACCGUUGAUGACCUUCUUUUCAAAAUCUCCAAAGAGAAAUAUUGUUCUGGUUGCUACUUAAAUUAUAAUUUCUAUAUAUAUAUAUAUAUACCAUCGAUCUUUGCAAAAAAUUAACCAAGUACGUACGUACGUAAUUAUCUAUGGAUCGAUUUUGUCGCGCGCAGAUCCAUCUCCGGUUGCUGCACCGGCUACGCCACCCUCCAUAUCGCCUCCACUGGCUCCAUCUGCUUCUUCCCCAAUUGCUCUUACACCGCCGUUUCCGAGAAAAUCUUUUGCCUCGACCAUCAAUGUGAACCAGCUAUGGUUUGGUCUGCUGGCAGCGAUUCUCAUGUAAUCUUAUAUAUUUCUUAUACAUCGUUUUUAUCUCUAAACAUUAAAUAGUAAUUAAGCUCGAUCGAUCAUCGAUCGAUCUAAGAAAUUCUAAUUUGCAGCGCAUGCAUGUAGUUUAAUUUUAAAUAUCA
rnacentral:lncRNA from 1 species